CUUUGAUUUCAGGAACAUUGAUGCUAUUAUAUUACAAUAAGGCAAAACUUUUAGGAAUUUUGGUCCUUAAUGUUCUUCAACUUUGUUUUUGGCCUUUUAAUUUUUUUUUGGAUUUGAGUGCCACUGAUAAGUCUUUUGUAGACUAAACAUGCCUCUGGUUUAAAGACAAAUUUUAAUCCUGGUAUCUAUGAUGAGUUUAUUUUCGUAACCGCUGUAGGCACCCAUUCAAACAGUAAUGAGGGGGAAAAAAUUGACCACCUAUGUUAUAAUUAGGUAUAUAGUGUUCUCUUAUAAAAGUUGUGUAUGUGUUGGUAUAAGUCAAUUUUGUAUCACAAAUAAAAGAUAUGUACAAAAAAACAAACUAAAAAAAGACAAAUUUAUAUAAACUGGACAGACAUGAUGUAGAUUACAAUCCGUGUUUCAACUGAGAAACUGAUUAUAACAUUUUGCACCUGAUCCAUGUAAAAUAUUUGAUGAUGAAUCAUUUUUUGAUUGAAUGUAUUUAAGAAGGUUUAAGAAGAUGGGAAGGUAGUGGUAAUAUUGAAAUUCGAGUAUAACAAUAUAAACAUGGUACAAAUGCCAAUGAGACACCUCUCUAUUAAAAUCAAAAUAGUAAACUGUGGACAUGAUGUAGAUUACAAUCCGUGUUUCAGCUGACAAACUGAUUAUAACAAUUUGUACCUGAUCCACAUGUUUAUUAUUGGUUGGUCCUUUUCUGUUUUGUAAUACAAUAAAUCCAAAUAAUUAUACAGUGAUGUGAGUAAGUCUUAGAAUUGAACUUUAGGUGUCACCACAUUUCUCAGAUUGUUAAAAGAGCUUUAAAAAAAGCACUGUUGCAAUCCAAAAUUUUGAAAUUUGAUACAAUGGCCUUAAUGAAGCUAUUUUGAAUGAAAUGUUUGCUUCAUUUUGUCUGGUGAUAGGUAUCCUUAUUACCUUUGUUGGCAUAUUUAAGAGAAACCAUCUAUUUGUAUUUAUCUAACUAAAAGAAUGUCAUAACCAUUAAUUUGAGCAUCUGUUGAGUAUUUGCUCAUCAUUUAAACUUGUGUGUAAUAAACCACUUUUGUACCAGGAAUAUAUGAUCAAAGUGCAAGGUACAAUAGGAAAACAUUAUAUAAAACGUGGACAUGAUGUAGAUUACAAUCCGUGUUUCAACUGACAAACAGCUGAUUAUAACAAUUUGUACCUGAUCCAUAUGUUCAUUAUUUGAAUAAUGGGACGUUUUUUAAUUAAAUAAAACAAGGUUGAGGCAGAAAGAUGUUAAGUUUGUAGUUAUAAUAAAGUUCAGGAAUCGUAAGUCUUUUCUUCUAUAUUGGUAAAAGAACUUGAUUUUAAAAAUUUUGUAAAUCUGAUGCAUUAUGUGUUAUAAUAAAAUUGAGACUUGUUUGUAUCUGGACAAAAUUAAAAGAUCUGAGUUAAGACAAAUUUCCGUACACUGUGGACAUGAUGUAGAUUACAAUCCGUGUUUCAACUGAGAAACUGAUUAUAGCAAUUUGUACCUGAUCCACAUGUUUAUUUUAUAAUUUGAAAAAUAGGGUGUUUUCUGAUUGAAUGAAAUACAACUAUAGAGUGAGCAUGAACAUAAUUAAACAGAAAAAAAUGAAGGUAGUUUCAUAUGAUCAAAUAUAUUCCCUACUUGUAACUUACUUGACACAUAAUCAGAAACUGUAUGCAUUGUCAACAUUAAGGUUCUGUCAGAUGUGUAGUGCUUUUGACAUACAAAACUUGAAACUUACAUCUAUCUUUUGGCUGUUGAAAAUGCCCUCUUCAUAUAAAAGUUGUGUGUUGGUAGUAAGGCACUUUUGAAUCACACAAGAUGAAAUGAGAUAAGCUUUGUUGAGACAAAAUUUAUAUUUGAUGUGGACAUGAUGUAGAUUACAAUCCGUGUUUCAGCUGAGAAACUGAUUAUAACAAUUUGUACCUGAUUCACAUGUUCAUUUUAUAAUUUGAAAACUUUAAACUUACAUCUAUCUUUUGGCUGUUGAAAAUACCCUCUUCAUAUUAAAGUUGUUUGUUGGUAAUAAGGCAGGUUUAAAUCAUACAGAAGAUGAAAUGAGAUAAGCUUUGUUGAGACAAAUUUAAAUAAAAUGUGGACAUGAUGUAGAUUACAAUCCGUGUUUCAGCUGAGAAACUGAUUAUAACAAUUUGUACCUGAUCCAUAUGUUCAUUAUUUAUAUAGUGGGUCAUUUUCUGAAUGAAGUAAAACUGAAGAGGGAUGAAAAACAUUAUUAUACUGGAAGAAUUAGAGUUAUUUGUUUAAUGAAAUUCAUGAAUCACCAGUUAAUUCUUUGAUAUCAGUCAUUUCUAUUCAGUUAAACUUUAGUCUGGUAAGAUCUGAAAUACUGUGGAUUCAUUUAUUUUCGUGGUUUGAGAAAAAUUUGCAUAUUCGUGGAUCUCUGAUUUCGUGGUUUUGACAGAGUCUGCACACAUUCCUUUACGAAAUUUGUAAUUCGUUGAAUAUUUGAAUUCGUGAUUCUCAUGUACCUACGAAAUCCACGAAAAUUAGUAUCCAAUGAAUAUUAAUGAAUUCACAGUAUAAGAUAUUUUUUUACAUCCAGAAAUUUUGACAACCCCCAUCUAAAUUCAUGAAACAUCUAUAGGUUUAGUUAGUUAAAUAUUUGCUUGUUAAAUAAAAAUUGUGUGUUUGUUAUAAGCCACUUGUGUAUCACAUCGAAGAUGAAAUAUGAUCAUCUUUAAUAAUUGAAACAGAUUUAUAUAAAACAUGGACAUGAUGUAGAUUACAAUCCGUGUUUCAACUGACAAACAGCUGAUUAUAACAAUUUGUACCUGAUCCAUAUGUUCAUUAUUUGAAUAAGUGGGCGUUUUCUGAUUGAUUGAAAUAAAUCUUUUACUGAUCUUUCUAAAUGAAAUCAGACUAAGAGUGAGAUAGAAAAUAAUUAUAUAGAAUGUGACAUUUGUUCCUUGAGAUUUGUUUAUGCAGGUCGUCUUUAAGCAUGUUGAAUGUGUACAUGAUGUAGAUUACAAUCCGUGUUUCAACUGACAAACUGAUUAUAACAAUUUGUACCUGAUCCACA